rnacentral:rRNA from 1 species
GUUUUUCUAAGACUAAGCCAUGCACGUCUAAGUACAAACUAAAUGAUGGUGAAACUGCAAAUGGCUCAUUACAACGGUUAUGAUGUACCCGGGAGUUCCGAUGGAUAUUUCCAGUAACACUGGAACUAAUACAUGUCCCUGCGUUUAUUAGUUUCGCACAGUCCGUCGCUGAGUCAUGGUAAACAGUUGAUCGACUCGACGUCCCGGAACAGUUUCCGCCCCAUCAGCUUCGAUGGUUGGGUAUUGGCCUACCAUUGCAACAACGGGUAACGAGGAAUUAGGGUUUGAUUUCGGAGAGGGAGCCUGAGAAACGGCUACCACAUCUACGGAUGGCAGCAGGCGCGCAAAUUACCCAAUGCAGACACUGUGAGGUAGUGACGAGAAAUAAUAAAGCGGGACUUCUGUUUCGCUAUUAUAAUGAGGAAUAACCAAAGGUCAUUCCGAUUAGCAACUGAUGGGAAAGUCUGGUGCCAGCAGCCGCGGUAAUACCAGCGUCAGUA